GCCAGGCGUGGGUGACGGCACACGCCUGUAAUCCCAGCGGCUCGGGAGGCUGAGGCAGGAGGAUCGUGAGUUCAAAGUCAGCCUCGGCCAAAGUGAGGCCCUAAGCAACUCAGGGAGACCCUGUCUCUA
rnacentral:sRNA from 1 species